rnacentral:rRNA from 1 species
ACGAGGUGCUGCAGUGGCUGUCGUCAGCCCGUGUCGUGAGAUGUUGGGUUAAGUCCCGUAACGAGCGCAACCCUUGUCCUUAGUUACCAGCACGUUAUGGUGGGCACUCUAAGGAGACUGCCGGUGACAAACCGGAGGAAGGUGGGGAUGACGUCAAGUCAUCAUGGCCCUUACGGCCUGGGCUACACACGUGCUACAAUGGUCGGUACAAAGGGUUGCCAAGCCGCGAGGUGGAGCUAAUCCCAUAAAACCGAUCGUAGUCCGGAUCGCAGUCUGCAACUCGACUGCGUGAAGUCGGAAUCGCUAGUAAUCGUGAAUCAGAAUGUCACGGUGAAUACGUUCCCGGGCCUU